rnacentral:rRNA from 1 species
ACUCCUACGGGAGGCAGCAGUGGGGAAUAUUGGACAAUGGGCGCAAGCCUGAUCCAGCCAUGCCGCGUGUGUGAUGAAGGCCCUAGGGUUGUAAAGCUCUUUCACCGGUGAAGAUAAUGACGGUAACCGGAGAAGAAGCCCCGGCUAACUUCGUGCCAGCAGCCGCGGUAAUACGAAGGGGGCUAGCGUUGUUCGGAUUUACUGGGCGUAAAGCGCACGUAGGCGGACUAUUAAGUCAGGGGUGAAAUCCCGGGGCUCAACCCCGGAACUGCCUUUGAUACUGGUAGUCUUGAGUUCGAGAGAGGUGAGUGGAAUUCCGAGUGUAGAGGUGAAAUUCGUAGAUAUUCGGAGGAACACCAGUGGCGAAGGCGGCUCACUGGCUCGAUACUGACGCUGAGGUGCGAAAGCGUGGGGAGCAAACAGGAUUAGAAACCCUUGUAGUCCCAUG